rnacentral:rRNA from 1 species
GCGUCUGGAAAGGCGCGCGAUACAGGGUGACAGCCCCGUACACAAAAAUGCACAUACUGUGAGCUCGAUGAGUAGGGCGGGACACGUGGUAUCCUGUCUGAAUAUGGGGGGACCAUCCUCCAAGGCUAAAUACUCCUGACUGACCGAUAGUGAACCAGUACCGUGAGGGAAAGGCGAAAAGAACCCCGGCGAGGGGAGUGAAAAAGAACCUGAAACCGUGUACGUACAAGCAGUGGGAGCCUCUUAAUGGGGUGACUGCGUACCUUUUGUAUAAUGGGUCAGCGACUUAUAUUCUGUAGCAAGGUUAACCGAAUAGGGGAGCCGAAGGGAAACCGAGUCUUAACUGGGCGUUAAGUUGCAGGGUAUAGACCCGAAACCCGGUGAUCUAGCCAUGGGCAGGUUGAAGGUUGGGUAACACUAACUGGAGGACCGAACCGACUAAUGUUGAAAAAUUAGCGGAUGACUUGUGGCUGGGGGUGAAAGGCCAAUCAAACCGGGAGAUAGCUGGUUCUCCCCGAAAGCUAUUUAGGUAGCGCCUCGUGAAUUCAUCUCCGGGGGUAGAGCACUGUUUCGGCAAGGGGGUCAUCCCGACUUACCAACCCGAUGCAAACUGCGAAUACCGGAGAAUGUUAUCACGGGAGACACACGGCGGGUGCUAACGUCCGUCGUGAAGAGGGAAACAACCCAGACCGCCAGCUAAGGUCCCAAAGUCAUGGUUAAGUGGGAAACGAUGUGGGAAGGCCCAGACAGCCAGGAUGUUGGCUUAGAAGCAGCCAUCAUUUAAAGAAAGCGUAAUAGCUCACUGGUCGAGUCGGCCUGCGCGGAAGAUGUAACGGGGCUAAACCAUGCACCGAAGCUGCGGCAGCGACACUAUGUGUUGUUGGGUAGGGGAGCGUUCUGUAAGCCUGUGAAGGUGUGCUGUGAGGCAUGCUGGAGGUAUCAGAAGUGCGAAUGCUGACAUAAGUAACGAUAAAGCGGGUGAAAAGCCCGCUCGCCGGAAGACCAAGGGUUCCUGUCCAACGUUAAUCGGGGCAGGGUGAGUCGACCCCUAAGGCGAGGCCGAAAGGCGUAGUCGAUGGGAAACAGGUUAAUAUUCCUGUACUUGGUGUUACUGCGAAGGGGGGACGGAGAAGGCUAUGUUGGCCGGGCGACGGUUGUCCCGGUUUAAGCGUGUAGGCUGGUUUUCCAGGCAAAUCCGGAAAACCAAGGCUGAGGCGUGAUGACGAGGCACUACGGUGCUGAAGCGACAAAUGCCCUGCUUCCAGGAAAAGCCUCUAAGCAUCAGGUAACAUCAAAUCGUACCCCAAACCGACACAGGUGGUCAGGUAGAGAAUACCAAGGCGCUUGAGAGAACUCGGGUGAAGGAACUAGGCAAAAUGGUGCCGUAACUUCGGGAGAAGGCACGCUGAUAUGUAGGUGAAGCGACUUGCUCGUGGAGCUGAAAUCAGUCGAAGAUACCAGCUGGCUGCAACUGUUUAUUAAAAACACAGCACUGUGCAAACACGAAAGUGGACGUAUACGGUGUGACGCCUGCCCGGUGCCGGAAGGUUAAUUGAUGGGGUUAGCGGUAACGCGAAGCUCUUGAUCGAAGCCCCGGUAAACGGCGGCCGUAACUAUAACGGUCCUAAGGUAGCGAAAUUCCUUGUCGGGUAAGUUCCGACCUGCACGAAUGGCGUAAUGAUGGCCAGGCUGUCUCCACCCGAGACUCAGUGAAAUUGAACUCGCUGUGAAGAUGCAGUGUACCCGCGGCAAGACGGAAAGACCCCGUGAACCUUUACUAUAGCUUGACACUGAACAUUGAGCCUUGAUGUGUAGGAUAGGUGGGAGGCUUUGAAGUGUGGACGCCAGUCUGCAUG